rnacentral:rRNA from 1 species
UACGUAGGGUGCGAGCGUUGUCCGGAAUACUGGGCGUAAAGCGUGCGCAGGCGGUUAUGCAAGACAGAUGUGAAAUCCCCGGGCUCAACCUGGGAACUGCAUUUGUGACUGCAUGGCUAGAGUGCGGCAGAGGGGGAUGGAAUUCCGCGUGUAGCAGUGAAAUGCGUAGAUAUGCGGAGGAACACCGAUGGCGAAGGCAAUCCCCUGGGCCUGCACUGACGCUCAUGCACGAAAGCGUGGGGAGCAAACAGG